CGAGGGGUGCAAGCGUUGCUCGGAAUUAUUGGGCGUAAAGGGUAGGUAGGUGGUCUCAUUUGUCUGGGGUGAAAGCCUUGAGCUUAACUCAAGAAGUGCCCCAGAAACGGUGAGACUCGAGUACUGGAGAGGGUCGUGGAAUUCCCGGUGUAGCGGUGAAAUGCGUAGAGAUCGGGAGGAACACCAGAGGCGAAGGCGGCGACCUGGACAGUUACUGACACUCAACUACGAAAGCGUGGGGAGCAAACAGGAUUAGAUACCCUGGUAGUCCACGCUGUAAACGAUGAGUACUAGGCUUGGCGGGUCUUGACCCCUGCUGAGCCGGCGCUAACGCAAUAAGUACCCCGUCUGGGAAGUACGGUCGCAAGACUA
rnacentral:rRNA from 1 species